rnacentral:rRNA from 1 species
AGCGAACGCUGGCGGCAGGCUUAACACAUGCAAGUCGAACGGGCAUAGCAAUAUGUCAGUGGCAGACGGGUGAGUAACGCGUGGGAACGUACCUUUUGGUUCGGAACAACACAGGGAAACUUGUGCUAAUACCGGAUAAGCCCUUACGGGGAAAGAUUUAUCGCCGAAAGAUCGGCCCGCGUCUGAUUAGCUAGUUGGUAAGGUAAUGGCCUACCAAGGCGACGAUCAGUAGCUGGUCUGAGAGGAUGAUCAGCCACAUUGGGACUGAGACACGGCCCAAACUCCUACGGGAGGCAGCAGUGGGGAAUAUUGGACAAUGGGCGAAAGCCUGAUCCAGCCAUGCCGCGUGAGUGAUGAAGGCCCUAGGGUUGUAAAGCUCUUUUGUGCGGGAAGAUAAUGACGGUACCGCAAGAAUAAGCCCCGGCUAACUUCGUG